rnacentral:rRNA from 1 species
AGCGAACGCUGGCGGCAGGCUUAACACAUGCAAGUCGAGCGGGCACUUCGGUGUCAGCGGCAGACGGGUGAGUAACACGUGGGAACGUACCCUUCGGUUCGGAAUAACGCUGGGAAACUAGCGCUAAUACCGGAUACGCCCUUUUGGGGAAAGGUUUACUGCCGAAGGAUCGGCCCGCGUCUGAUUAGCUAGUUGGUGGGGUAAUGGCCUACCAAGGCGACGAUCAGUAGCUGGUCUGAGAGGAUGAUCAGCCAUACUGGGACUGAGACACGGCCCAGACUCCUACGGGAGGCAGCAGUGGGGAAUAUUGGACAAUGGGCGCAAGCCUGAUCCAGCCAUGCCGCGUGAGUGAUGAAGGCCUUAGGGUUGUAAAGCUCUUUUGUCCGGGACGAUAAUGACGGUACCGGAAGAAUAAGCCCCGGCUAACUUCGUG